UGUUAGCUCCAGAGGACUGUUUUCUACGCGUCCCCAAGCCCCGCCCUCAUUUGUUGGUGGAUGGUAAGCCAAUGAAAAGAGAGCAAACUGCCACCUGCUGUAUGGGGGGGGGGGGGGGGGCAUUCACCCAGAACCAGAUCUGCAUGGCCAAAGUGAAGCUGGACAGGAAGAACAAUCCUCAGACUGAUACUCCUCCAUCCACGUCCAACCAUCACAGCUGAACCCAGGCUGGUUUUGCCGGCGGCCCUGUCAGAGUCUGAACCGCUUCAGUUUCAACAUUCAGAACCGUUUCAGCCUCAGGCUGAAAGACGCGUCUGUCAGCCGAGCCUGAAGGGUUCUGAUGACAUUUCUGGGAUGGAGAAGUUAACCAACAACCAGGGCGAGUCUCUGCAUGUGAAUCCAGAAUGUUAUCAUGGUGGUUCAGAGCCUAACGUCGGGUCCUGACUUUGGGUCCUGACGUUAGAUUCUGACGCUGGGUUCUGACGCUGGGUUCCAUAGAAGGACCUGAAUGAGGUUUUAGCAGGGACUGUCUGAGUGGCAGAUGGACUCAUCGACCCAGGACGUUAACAAGAGACUGCAUGAACCAGGAAUUGAACCCUGAGGGGUCAAGAGACCAUCUCUAGUAUCUAUACAUCCCACCCGAAGACCCGGGUUGCAUCGAUGCAUUUGGAGUGGACCCACUCCUCUGGUCCGCCUCAUUUCUGGACAACACUGACCCUAAAUGAAGCUUCUUAUGAGGAACAUGAGACGAGUUCAGUGACUACGUUGAUUUUGUGUUCAGCAGUUUGAGCCCCUUGUGUUGUGUUUCCGUUCGGCGAAGGCGUCAGAGGAAACAAGAGGCCGUCCGCUGAAGACGAGUGGCUGACAGGAGAAGCAGGACGGAAAGUUUUCGGUUUGACUGUCGGCCAUCAGCUGACCUGCUUUCACUCAUCAAGGCUCCUCUUUGGUUUCUCUCGGGUGCUGGGGGGCCUUUGGGGGUGGAAAGCUUGCAACACCGUGUCUGCUUCUGCUCUGCCCCCCUCCCCCGUGCUCUAUUUCUGAGGGGAGCGUGUGGUUUCCUCCAUGUUGCAGACGUUGCUGGCUGGUCAGCCUGACAGUGAGAAGGUUCAAAACCCAGCCGUGUUCUCUCUGUGUGUAGUUAGCGUGUUCUCCUCAUGCAUGUCUCUCUACGGCUUCCUCCCACAAAAACAGGCUUCAUUUGUUUGAGUCGCCAUUGGAGGUGUACUUACUUUAUCUCUAUCUGUGACGCCAUAACAUGGAAAUGUCCCCAUGCACUGUGGGAAAAUAAAGGGUUUCUUGUUCU